rnacentral:rRNA from 1 species
GACGAACGCUGGCGGCGUGCCUAAUACAUGCAAGUAGGACGCAGUUGCGAACGGUUGCGUAACGCGUAGGUAACUACCUAUUAGAGGGGGAGAACUAUUGGAAACGAUAGCUAAUACCGCAUACUAGUAGAUGGACCUGCGUUGUAUUAGCUAGUAGGUAGGGUAAAGGCCUACCCAGGCAACGAUACAUAGCCGAGCUGGGGGGGUGAUCGGCCAAACCUGGACUGGGAAACGGCCCAGACUCCUACGGGAGGCAGCAGUAGGGAAUCUUCGGCAAUGGGGGGAACCCUGACCGAGCAAAGCCGCGGGAGUGGAGAAGGUUUUCGGAUCGUAAAGCUCUGUUGUUAAGGAAGCGGUACUUAACCAGAAAGGGACGGCUAACUACGUGCCAGCAGCCGCGGUAAUUC